ensembl:snRNA U4 U4 spliceosomal RNA
AGCUUUGUGCAGCAGCAGUAUCAUAGCCAAUGAGUUUAUCUGAGGCAUGAUUAUUGCUAAAGGAAUGACAAAAUGAAUGAAUGAAUUCCACCUCCUUAGUUACAGUUAUUAAUUCAAGAAUGACCCAAUU